rnacentral:misc_RNA from 1 species
UAUCCGUAGGUGAACCUGCGGAUGGAUCAUUAACACAAAUCCAAAACGAAAAAAAAAAGGGAAACUGAUGGCUUGUCUUUUCAAGUUUGUCAUGUUUCUUCUUCUUUUUUUCUUCAAUAAGCAAAACACAGCGAACCUGUCAACGGAUUGAGGGCAAACAUGGGAAGCUUGUAUUGAGAGAAGUCUGGUUAGUGGUUCAUCCUUGUAAAUCCAGAUGCGUGGUUAGUGUUUCACUCCUUGUAAAUCCAACAUCUCUCAUUCAUCUUCUUCCUCAACACCCGUUCGUUUUUCUUCUCUCUUAUCAAUUUUUAUUCUGACAUCACUUCCUACCUAUCUAUCUAUCUUUUCGGUUUCUCUAUCUUGAUUGAUUGAGAUCUGGGAAUGAAUGAAUGAAUGGUUAGGAAUGCAUCUAAAUAACUUGACUGAGAAAAAAACACCUUUGCUCUUGAUUGAGUUUAGGCAAAACAAAAUGACAAACAUUAAAAAUACAACUUUUAACAACGGAUAUCUUGGCUCUC